CUCCACCUCCGCUUCCGCUUCCGCAUCCGCCCCCGCCGUCGCUUGAUUCUUUUCACGCUUGCUGACUUUCAUAAACACCAAAUUUCUUCUCUCUUAUUUUUUCUCGUCUUUUUUGUUUUCUGGGUUUCCAGAUUUUUGAGUUGUUUAUGGUUUUUAAUGUUGUUGGGUUUGCAAUGCAGAUUAAGAUGGACUUGUAAUUAGUUGCCGGAAUACUGUGGAGGUCGAGCAAUUCCAUUCCAAGCUCGUUGCGACUGACAUUCUGGUUAGGUGCUUAUGUUUUCCUGUGUUUUCUUGUGACAUUCUUGACUGACAUUCUGUGCCUGGUUACUCUGCUCACAUCAGAUUAUAUGAUAUGCUCUGCUUUUGUUGAGGCUUCAAAGUCAGUUAAUGUUUUCUGAAUGGUUUUUGGUUGUCUAUCUCUUCUGUGAGAAUGGUCACCUAUUGUAACUACAAGGAUUCCUUUUGAAACCUGUAUAUACUCUGAUCCAAUAUUCUUGAACCAGUGCACAUGUUUUUGGAGUUUCAACGGCAUCCAUGCAGUUAUCUUAUGACUCUAGAAGGAACAGCGUGCCGACAAUACUGCUGCUUAUGCAACGAAAGCUGUAUUCUCAAGGAGGUUUACAGGCAGAAGGUAUUUUCAGGAUAAAUGCAGAAAACAGUCAGGAUUGGCGGCUUAAGCCGUAUACGGAGUGGAUUGAGGCAUCAACCUGCAUUCCAGGUGACAAUGCCUGUAGAGAAGAGUAGGGUGAUUGGCAGCUUAAGCCAUAUACGGAGUGGAUUGAGGCAUGGAGAUGAAAUAUCUCUGCACUUCUAGGGAACAAGCUUCCAGAUGACCUCAUUGAGUGUAAGUUUGUAUGAAUCGGAGUCGGGGGGAGGUUUUGUGAAAGAUUUGUGUUCUGUUUCGCUGUGCCAGAUUUUAGGAUUGUUUGAAACUGUUUGAUGUUGCGACAACAUUCCACUUGUGAUCAUACUAAGUGGAGAUUCAUUCGUCUUUGCUUGCCGUUUGAAC